rnacentral:misc_RNA from 1 species
UCCGGUUUAACACCGGCAGUCCCGUUAGAGUGCCCAGCAUGACCUGAUGGCAACUAGCGGCAGGGGUUUCGCUCGUUAAGGGACUUAACCCGACACUUCACAGCACGAGCUGACGACAGCCAUGCAGCACCUGUGUAUGUUCCACGGCAAGCCGCGUUAUUCCUGUUUCCAGGAACUAAUCCAUACAUGUCAAGCCCAGGAUAAGGUUCUUCGCGUUGCUUCGAAUUGAGCCACAUGCUCCACCGCUUGUGUGAGCCCCCGUCAAUUCCUUUGAGUUUUAGCCUUGCGACCGUACUCCCCAGGCGGUGCACUUAGUGAUUUUUCUGCGACCCGGAUGGCGUCAGAGCCUCCCGGAUCUAGUGCACAUCGUUUACGGCGUGGACUAC